GUUUACUACGGACCGGUGUGAACUCUGGGACUUUUGUGCAACUUAUUUCUGAUCCAUUCCUGACUUUCCUUUCAACUGAAACACAUUUCCAUAUUUAGGUAAAAUCUGUACAGGCAAAAUUCCAUAAGUGCACUCUUCAAAAGAUUAAAGAUUGAAAGCAAGUAAACCUUUAAAGAAAGAAAAGAUAAAGAUGAAAGACCUUUUGUCAAGCUUGUUUUAACCAUCAUACUGCAGUAAAAAAAAAAGUUACUGAACUAUCUUUGGAUCCAUUCUUUGCUUUGCAUGCUGGUACCAGCCCCAGAACUGGACUCUGGGUAAUCCAUGACUGUUUCCUCUGAUGUGUGUCUUCAGGACAUAAAGACUAUCCUUCUCUGGACUGUGC